rnacentral:rRNA from 1 species
AGAGUUUGAUCCUGGCUCAGGAUGCAUUCUGGCGGCGUGCCUAACACAUGCAAGUCGAGCGAGAAGCCACUGACUGAAACUUCGGUAGAAGGAUAUGGUGGAAAGCGGCGGACGGGUGAGUAACGCGUAGGCAACCUGCCCCUUACAGAGGGAUAGCCAUUGGAAACGAUGAUUAAAACCUCAUAACGCAUCCCCCUCACAUGGAGGGGAUGCCAAAGAUUCAUCGGUAAGGGAUGGGCCUGCGUCUGAUUAGCUAGUUGGCGGGGUAACGGCCCACCAAGGCGACGAUCAGUAGCCGACCUGAGAGGGUGAUCGGCCACAUUGGAACUGAGACACGGUCCAAACUCCUACGGGAGGCAGCAGUGGGGAAUAUUGCACAAUGGGCGAAAGCCUGAUGCAGCAACGCCGCGUGAGGGAUGAAGGCCUUCGGGUCGUAAACCUCUGUCCCUGGGGAAGAAACAAAUGACGGUACCCAUGGAGGAAGCCCCGGCUCACUACGUGCCAGCAGCCGCGGUAAUACGUAGGGGGCGAGCGUUAUCCGGAAUUAUUGGGCGUAAAGAGUGCGUAGGUGGUUACCUAAGCGCAGGGUCUAAGGCAAUGGCUCAACCAUUGUUCGCCCUGCGAACUGGGCUACUUGAGUGCAGGAGAGGAAAGCGGAAUUCCUAGUGUAGCGGUGAAAUGCGUAGAUAUUAGGAGGAACACCAGUGGCGAAGGCGGCUUUCUGGACUGUUACUGACACUGAGGCACGAAAGCGUGGGGAGCAAACAAGAUUAGAUACCCUGGUAGUCCACGCCGUAAACGAUGAGAAAUAGGUGUCGGGGCCGCAAGGCUUCCGGUGCCGCAGUUAACGCAUUAAGUGCUCCGCCUGGGGAGUACGCACGCAAGUGUGAAACUCAAAGGAAUUGACGGGGACCCGCACAAGCAGCGGAGCAUGUGGUUUAAUUCGAAGCAACGCGAGGAACCUUACCAAAUCUUGACAUCCCUCUGACCGGGACUUAACCGUCCCUUUCCUUCGGGACAGGGGAGACAGGUGGUGCAUGGUUGUCGUCAGCUCGUGUCGUGAGAUGUUGGGUUAAGUCCCGCAACGAGCGCAACCCUUAUGGUCAGUUACUACGCAAGAGGACUCUGGCCAGACUGCCGUUGACAAAACGGAGGAAGGUGGGGAUGACGUCAAAUCAUCAUGCCCUUUAUGACUUGGGCUACACACGUACUACAAUGGCGUUAAACAAAGAGAAGCAAGACCGCGAGGUGGAGCAAAACUCAGAAACAACGUCCCAGUUCGGACUGCAGGCUGCAACUCGCCUGCACGAAGUCGGAAUUGCUAGUAAUCGCAGAUCAGCAUGCUGCGGUGAAUACGUUCCCGGGCCUUGCACUCAACGCCCGUCA